rnacentral:rRNA from 1 species
ACCAUGAAGAGUUUGAUCCUGGCUCAGGAUGAACGCUAGCGACAGGCUUAACACAUGCAAGUCGAGGGGCAGCGGGAGGUAGCAAUACCUCGCCGGCGACCGGCGCACGGGUGAGUAACGCGUAUGGAACCUGCCCGGCACAGGGGUAUAGCCCGUGGAAACGCGGAUUAAUCCCCCAUAUUGCCGGGAGGGGGCAUCCCCUCCCGGUGAAAUCUACGGAGGUGCCGGCUGGCCAUGCGUCCUAUUAGCUGGUUGGCGGGGCAACGGCCCACCAAGGCGAUGAUAGGUAGGGGUUCUGAGAGGAAGGUCCCCCACACUGGUACUGAGACACGGACCAGACUCCUACGGGAGGCAGCAGUGAG